AUUGAACGCUGGCGGCAUGCCUUACACAUGCAAGUCGAACGGCAGCACGGGUGCUUGCACCUGGUGGCGAGUGGCGAACGGGUGAGUAAUACAUCGGAACAUGUCCUGCAGUGGGGGAUAGCCCGGCGAAAGCCGGAUUAAUACCGCAUACGAUCUACGGAGGAAAGCGGGGGACCUUCGGGCCUAGCGUUAUUGGGUUGGCCGAUGGCUGAUUAGCUAGUUGGUGGGGUAAAGGCCUACCAAGGCAACGAUCAGUAGCUGGUCGGAGAGGACGACCGGCCACACUGGGACUGAGACACGGCCCAGACUCCUACGGGAGGCAGCAGUGGGGAAUUUUGGACAAUGGGCGAAAGCCUGAUCCAGCAAUGCCGCGUGUGUGAAGAAGGCCUUCGGGUUGUAAAGCACUUUUGUCCGGAAAGAAAUACUUGGCCCUAAUACGGUCGGGGGAUGACGGUACCGGAAGAAUAAGCACCGGCUAACUACGUG
rnacentral:rRNA from 1 species